rnacentral:lncRNA from 1 species
AUGCGCUUCACCGAAGCCGCAGUAACGCAGAGCCCCUCUUUCAGACUUCGCCCGGAAAUCAGGCGGAGGCGCGUUCACGGGAAGCGGGAAGCGGGCACCGGGGCCGAGACCGCAAGCCGGGCUGCCGCCUCCGCGGCCGGACAAACUUGCGAGGCUCCGAGGCCGCCCGCGGCCGCGGCGGCAGGUAGACAGAGCGCGGCGGCCGGGGACGGCGGGCCUGGCCUCGCGGGGGCCGGGGCCGGGGGCGGCGCGGCGCCCCGAACCCCGUACAGGACACAACAUCCCUUUGCCGCCAGGGCCAACGCACUCUCUCUAGUAAUUCAACACCCUUACUUUCAAACUGGAGGUCGGUGGGGGGGGGGGGGGGGAGGGGCAGAAAGGAGGGGGAGAAGUUCUAAUAAAUUCCCCCCCCAUCCCGCACUGCAACAUGGAAUUCCACCCAGGCUCACGGUAUUUUCUGGGCGCCCCGAAGGGACGAGCCAGGCCGCGCCGGGGCCGCGCCCAGGCGGCGGGAACCCGCCGCUGCCCGGGGUCUGGGGGUCCGGGGCCCACCCCGGGGGCGGACCGCGCGCCCGCGCCGACCAGAAACGCCCGGCGGCCGCCUCGGGCUUCGGGCCGCGCCCAGCGCCUGCCGCCGACCCCGGGAGCGGCCUGGCGGGCCGGGCCGGGAGCUCGGCGGCGCCGCGGCCCGCGGGGCGCGGACACAGAGGCGCGCGAUGCUCUCGCGAAGCGGCCGCCGGGCAGCGCGGGCCCCCGCAACUUCUCGCCACCUCAGUGUCUCCGGAGCCGCCCGGGAGCAGGGACUGGGGGGGCGGGGGGGGAAGGGAGGGCGCCAGCGGCUUACCCCGAGAGCGAGCGGCUCCUUCCCGCCCCGAGCGUGGCCGGGGCGCUGCGCGGCGGCGCCGGGCGUCGCGGCUGCGGCCGGGAGGGAAAGGCGGCGGUGGGAGCGCUGGGCCGCCGGGGACGAGAGGCGCCGCCACCACCGCAGACAGCUCCGCAAUAUGGCCGCCCGGCGGCUCCUCGGGGGGAAGGCGGGGCUGCCCCGCGCCCCCCGCCUCCCCCUGCCGGCCGGCCGGCCUCGCGCCGCGGCCCGAGCGCCAACGCCGCCGCCGCCGCCGCCGCCGCCGCCGCCGCCGCCGUGAGGGCCGCCCGCGCCCCGCCCCCCGCGCUCGCCGCCGCCCGCCGCACGCGGCGUCGCCGGGGGUCGCGGCGCGGGGUGGGGACGCGCCAGGGCCAACGUCGGCCGCGGAGGCCCGCGGGAAGCCCCUGCCGGCGGGACUGAGCCGAAGCUCGCGGCGCGCCCGCCGCCACCCGCUCCGCGCACCCCCGGGAGUGGAAACUUGA